UAGCUCAGAGGCUAAGGUUGUUUUUUCACUAUGGUGUCUGACAAAAUGAGUCCAGAAAUAUGGAUAAUUGCUGCCUUGUUGUCAACCUCUUACAGCCAAACACUAGAGUGUCUCCAGAGAAACGUUUCCUGCUGUGAUAUAAAGACAGCCGAUGGCUUCAAGUUCGAGUUUGGGCGUACUGGGGGAAUGAACGUUACUCACACUUACGUGAAUGAUAAAGAGACAACGAUUGCUUAC